ensembl:lncRNA
CAAGAAGCCGUCAAUACUCUUCAAGUCCGAUCUGUUUACAAACAUCAGGCAUUGGCCGACAUCAGACAGGUCUUGGCAGGAGAGAAUCAAGGGAAUGUGAAAAUACAGGUUCCAUGCGGUGGAUGGGCAGACGAAACCAGAGAACCGAAUCACCGACCGACGUCCAGACCAGCUGAGCUUAUAAUAACUCAUUAGUGGUGGCGAGGAGUGAUGGAAGGUCUGUUCACAUCUUACAAACGCUCACUCGUUUAUCUUCCCGAGAAAAUAGGAUAGCGCGAAUAAGAAGAAGAUAUCAGACCUCGCUGAUUAUAUAUACGAGUCAGGAACCGUCCUCGUAUGACGUCCGGUUGCGGGUUCAUCCACCAAGGCUGUAUCUGGAGGCUGACUUAUCUAUUUAUUUAUUUAUUUAUUCAUUUAUUUAUGAUGUUACUGUGGCCUUGUCCUGUGUGUGUGUAUUUUUUAACAGCGCGAGUAAAAAGCGAAUCGAGCGUCGAGACGUCCAUUGCGGGAUUGAGGAUGAGCCCUUGGAGCGUUGACACGCCGUUGACGAUUUUCAUUUCACACCGUGACACAGAAAUAUACCGCAGCGUACUUGGACUUGCUGAACCCGUCCGAUCCGAUUUCUGGAGAUUUUUUCCUCGAGAGACGUUGUGAGGACAAGCUGUACAAUGAGAAAACGUCUUUCGCUUUUAAAGGGCCUCGUCUUGUUUUCUCGGCGUCCUCCUUCGUGAUCUUUUAUUGAAGAGGUGACUCGACGGCGGCGUUGGACGCAUUCUCUCAGAAGUCUCUUAGGCUUUAACACCGUCUGAUCUUCGGAUGUGAAAGGACGACUCAAGACGUCUAAAACGAGUCCUUUUUAUAAAGGCUAUAGAAACUGUAUAUCACGUAUAUCAUGUGCCACAGUUUCAUCGUCGUUCCUUCAAACGACAUUUUUUUCCCCCCCGCCUUAUUGCGUCUCUAUCCCUGUUUCAAAAGUCCUGAUCUUCUCUGAAACUAUCUGAACGGUAAAGCAGACCAUAAGAGGCUUUAAACAUCCGUCAAUCCAUUUUCUAUCUAUUUCCGCUUAUCCUACACGGUCACGGGGGAACCUGGAGCCUAUCCCAGGGAGCAUGGGGCACGAGGCGGGGUACACCCUGGACGGGGUGCCAAUCCAUCGCAG